rnacentral:sRNA from 1 species
CUCCCUGGAUUCCAGGUCGAGGCCUGAUGAGGCCAGAAGCCGGGAAGCCACGGCCUGUGUCCUCGGAAAAAGCAGGCACUGGAAGGGAGGCCAUUGAGCCCGGCACUAGCCGGUGUGGGUGAGCCCCGGCGAUGGGGGGGAUGGGUGGGGGUGGGGCGGGGAGGCUGGCCUGCCUUGACUCCUUUCUUCUCUUUGCAGCUCCCUGCUGUGGUCUGGAGGAAGCAGCGGCCUGGGUUGGUGGGAUUGGAAUGAAGGGCUUCUGGUUUGCAGGGAUCAAGGGUCCAGGGUCCCCGAGGUUGGGUCAGGAGCCUCAAGGGGAUAACUGAGGCUUGGGAGGGAGACAGGGCGAGAUAGAGACUGGCCCCUGUCCGGGAAGAAGCGUCCGGGGCCCAGGCAGGGGCAGCCAGCCUGAGGAGGGUGGCUGGUUAGGUGGCACUCACACCUAGAUGGGCUGCGAAGAUCAUAGACCUGUCCCAUAGUAAUGGAGACCCCUGUAGCGCAUUUCACCCUCCACUGCAGCAGCCGGAA